UCACUAUUGUUAAUUCACAACUAUGUUUACUUCUCAGGGUCAACAGAACGCAGGUUUUUGGAGAACAUUGAUGUGAUUGUGAUGCGCUCACUGCCAUUACAAAAUCUCAAGUUUUUUUUUUAGAGCAAAGAGGUUGCUGAGACAUAUCUGUUGAACCAAGUUACAUUUUGUGAGGAAAUGGUUCAGGUUGAUUUAGGAAAGUGUUGUGUAUCCUUUCUGGUUCACCCAUGCUGAAGUCCUGGCAUUCAGAGUAAUGCCUGAGCGCUUCUGGGAUAUAUAACAUGAAGAAAUUCUUGGAGUUUCAUAGCACUACACUAAUCUGAAAAAUUCUGGAACAUUUUUGAGAGACUGGGGAACCCACUCAAACAUAAUUGGCAUUGGUGAUACAGUUCUCCUAAGGCAGGAAAUAGAUGCGAAGCUGGCAUUUUGGAUUAGAAAGCAACAGGAAGUAGUUUCAAAGCUAACCAUCCUUCAGAAAGGCGAAAAGUACCCAGAAGAUGUUCAGAAUUAUGUUGCUGAGUAUCAACUAGAUGCCUAUCGAAAUGUUUUCUGCAAGUGGCGUGAGAUUGCCAAGAUCAUGCGGCAAAGAGUUUUUGAAGAAGACAUGGAAGAGGAAAUCGAUAUUUUUGACUUGGAGGUU